GAAAUGUGAUAAGUAAUGUGAAUUGCAGAAUUCAGUGAAUCAUCGAAUCUUUGAACGCACCUUGCGCUCCUUGGUAUUCCUUGGAGCAUGCCUGUUUGAGUAUCAUGAAAUCUUCAAAGUAAAUCUUUUGUUAACUCAAUUGGUUUCUACUUUGGUAUUGGAGGUCUUUGCAGCUUCACACCUGCUCCUCUUUGUUCAUUAGCUGGAUUUCAGUGUUAUGCUUGGUUCCACUCGGCGUGAUAAGUUAUCUAUCGCUGAGGACACUGUAAAAGGUGGCCAAGGUAAAUGCAGAUGAACCGCUUCUAAUAGUCCAUUGACUUGGACAAUACUUUUAUGAUCUGAUCUCAAAUCAGGUAGGACUACCCGCUGAACUUAAGC
rnacentral:misc_RNA from 1 species